UCUGGAGGAAGGAUGAUCGCCCCACGUCGCGUAAAGCUAUGUGGGGAGGAAAGUCCAGGCAGCAAAAGGCAGGAGAUUCGGCGUAAGCCGGAACCCGAAACUCCGUCUAACGGGGUGAAGGGCUGGUUAGAGCAACAGUGACGAUUCUUGGGUUAGCCUAAAGCUUACCUAGGGGUGAAACGGGCAAUCCCCUCCGCUGCAAUCCACGAACGACCCGUUAUUAGGUCGCCUUUCCGAGGGUCAAAGUUUGGAGCAUUAGACAGAUGAUCGUCUGAAAACAGAACCUGGCUUACUACCCUCCAGAGCAC
rnacentral:RNase_P_RNA from 1 species